UAAGGAAUAUUGCACAAUGGGGGAAACCCUGAUGCAGCAACGCCGCGUGAGUGAUGAAGGCCUUCGGGUUGUAAAACUCUUUUCUGAGGGAUGAGGAAGGACAGUACCUUAGGAAUAAGUCUCGGCUAACUACGUGCCAGCAGCCGCGGUAAAACGUAGGAGGCGAGCGUUAUCCGGAUUUACUGGGCGUAAAGGGCAAGUAGGCGGUGGUCAAAGUUGGGCGUGACAGAUCCUGGCUUAACUGGGAGAGGUCGUUCAAAACUAGAGCACUAGAGUGCAAGAGAGGUGAGCGGAAUUCGUAGUGUAGCGGUGGAAUGCACAGAUAUUAGGAAGAACACCAGUGGCGAAGGCGGCUUACUGGGCUGCACCUGACGCUGAAGGACGAAAGCUAGGGGAGC
rnacentral:rRNA from 1 species